rnacentral:lncRNA from 1 species
GGGGAGGCUGCGCUUUUGUGUCUAGCCCAAACUUUCCGUGAGUCACCGGGAUCAUUUGCAUGGGGAGGCUGCCCGAGUCCCGGCCGCCCAGCUCCUCGACUUCAGAGCUGGGUCUGCCCCAGUCCACUUUGGAAAUGGAAAAUAAAGCUGUGCCGUUUGGGGACUUCGCUGUACCUUUCUUCUGACACUUAGGGCUGCUCAGGUGAGCUCGGGUGACCAGGACACAGA